GACAGAGGGGGCAAGCGUUGCUCGGAAUUACUGGGCGUAAAGGGCGCGUAGGCGGGAUGGCAAGUCGGUCGUGAAAUCCCUCGGCUCAACCGAGGAACGUCGAUCGAUACUACUGUUCUUGAGGAUUGCAGAGGAGACUGGAAUUCCCGGUGUAGCGGUGAAAUGUGUAGAGAUCGGGAGGAACACCGGUGGCGAAGGCGGGUCUCUGGGCAAUUCCUGACGCUGAGGCGCGAAAGCGUGGGGAGCAAACGGG
rnacentral:rRNA from 1 species